rnacentral:rRNA from 1 species
GUGAGGAAUAUUGGUCAAUGGGCGAGAGCCUGAACCAGCCAAGUAGCGUGCAGGAUGACGGCCCUAUGGGUUGUAAACUGCUUUUACACGGGGAUAAAGUGUGCGACGUGUCGUUCAUUGCAGGUACCGUGCGAAUAAGGACCGGCUAAUUCCGUGCCAGCAGCCGCGGUAAUACGGAAGGUCCGGGCGUUAUCCGGAUUUAUUGGGUUUAAGGGAGCGUAGGCCGUCUGUUAAGCGUGUUGUGAAAUGUAGAUGCUCAACAUCUGAAUUGCAGCGCGAACUGACCGACUUGAGUGCGCAGGAAGUAGGCGGAAUUCGUGGUGUAGCGGUGAAAUGCUUAGAGAUGACACAGAACACCAACGGCGAAGGCAGGUUACCAACCCAUUACUGACGCUGAGGCACGAAAGCGUGGGGAUCAAACAGGAUUAGAAACCCGGGUAGUCC